GUUAUAUUUCAUUCUUUUCAUGGUGCAUUUAAUUUUUUGUAUUAUGUUGUUAAUUAAAAAAGGGUAAAGAAAGCACAGACAAAGAGAACUGGCGCCCCCGCGUUGCGGGGUCUGAUGCAUUGUAGUUCCGUCACUGCUUACAAGUUAGAAGCGCUAUUUGAAAACUUUUUAAAUUUCCGAGAUUCGUUUAUUAUAUUUAACACUUUGCAAUCAAAAGUAGAAUUCUUCUGUAUGUACAGUACAAUGAUCCCUUAUCCUUACCAUAAUUGUUUUUACUGUAGCAUUAAGCAUAGCAACAUAUCAAUCGCAUAUUUAAUCCUGAAUUAUGUCAC
rnacentral:lncRNA from 1 species